CCGGCUUCAGAGAAACCAAACCUUGUGAGGACCGCAAUGCAAAUGCCCAACAGGCAUCCUGGGCCCUGCCUGCCUGAGACCACUGCUGCAGCGGUGGCUGAACCAUCUUAGGAAAAGGACACUUAGAACACACUGUCUUGGCAGUCAGAAAGUACUUCAGCGUUGCAGCUCACAGAGGAAAUGAGCUAUGCAGAGGGAACUGGGAAGACCAUCGGGAGGAGACCACUGAAGGGGACCCUAGCCUGACAUUUCAGAAAGUAGAUAUCUGUCCCUCCUGACUGGAAUGCCCUCUCAUGCCAUGGAGCACUCUCUUCAGGGAAUCUUGGGUUCUUUCUCCAUGUCACUUCAUUCACACGUCCAGUCCUUGCCCAGGAAGGCUGCUGCGGCUCAAGCCAUCACAUCCACACCCCAGCUGCAGAAGGAGUUAGAGAAGCUGCUCCUGAGGGGCAUGCCUGUGAGACUGUACACACCGCAUCCUCCCACUUACACUUCUUUGGCCAGAAGACAGCUGGACUUUGCGAGGAAGACUAGUCUUUAUUUUGGGAGUCCACAUGUUUGGUUCACAGGACAUAACAUGGUAUUGGAGUCACCACGGAAACCAAGGGUCAUCACUCUGUUCUCAGCUCACAAGGCUUCUUCUUUUUCUGUCUCUCCAUACUAGUUUUUAAACCAAGGUUUAACUAGAAUUUGAUCUCCUUGAAGAGAAGCCCUGUGGGAAAUUACCCAGCUCUACUCUAGGAACCAAAGGGCAAGAGGCCCAAGCUAACUUAUUUCAGCUUCUGUUAAACUGCUUGCUUGUGCAAACUUCCACAUCCAGCUACAGAGUGUGAUGCCAGGAUGUGGUUUCUGUCUUUAAAAUCUCCCUUGUCUAAAUGCUCAGCGCUACACUUGGGUUUCCAAAUACCUGAGUGUAGCCCCAGCUGGCUGGAAUAAAUACUUUCAACCGGCUAUAAAUUGUGUCUGAGUGAUCAUCUCUGGUGGGCUCUGCAUAACAAAAGUGACAGAGGGUUGUCCAAAGUAGCGGUUGAGUCCUUUUCUCUUUUAGGAAAAAACAAAACAU
rnacentral:lncRNA from 1 species